rnacentral:snoRNA from 1 species
AAGGUGGACGAAGAAGAUGUGGUUUCACACAUCCUUGCCGGGCUGGAGGAAGAAUUCGAUCCCGUGGUUUCGGCCAUGUGCUCAUGGGUCGAACCUGUAACCGUCCCGGAGCUGUACUCGCAGCUUCUGAGCUUCGAGA